rnacentral:rRNA from 1 species
UACGAAGGGGGCUAGCGUUGCUCGGAAUCACUGGGCGUAAAGCGCACGUAGGCGGACUCUUAAGUCGGUGGUGAAAUCCUGGAGCUCAACUCCAGAACUGCCUUUGAUACUGGCAAUCUUGAGUCCGGGAGAGGUGAGUGGAACUGCGAGUGUAGAGGUGAAAUUCGUAGAUAUUCGCAAGAACACCAGUGGCGAAGGCGGCUCACUGGCCCGGUACUGACGCUGAGGUGCGAAAGCGUGGGUAGCGAACAGG